rnacentral:rRNA from 1 species
CACGAACGCUGGCGGCAGGCCUAACACAUGCAAGUCGAACGCCCUAGCAAUAGGGAGUGGCAGACGGGUGAGUAACACGUGGGAACCUUCCCAGUAGUACGGAAUAGCCCAGGGAAACUUGGAGUAAUACCGUAUACGCCCGAAAGGGGAAAGAUUUAUCGCUACUGGAUGGGCCCGCGUUGGAUUAGCUAGUUGGUGAGGUAACGGCUCACCAAGGCGACGAUCCAUAGCUGGUCUGAGAGGAUGACCAGCCACACUGGGACUGAGACACGGCCCAGACUCCUACGGGAGGCAGCAGUGGGGGAUAUUGGACAAUGGGCGCAAGCCUGAUCCAGCCAUGCCGCGUGAGUGAUGAAGGCCCUGGGGUUGUAAAGCUCUUUCACCGGUGAAGAUAAUGACGGUAACCGGAGAAGAAGCCCCGGCUAACUUCGUGCCAGCAGCCGCUGUAAUAC